rnacentral:rRNA from 1 species
GUCGUAACAAGGUUUCCGUAGGUGAACCUGCGGAAGGAUCAUUAAUAAUUCCGAUCAUUAAUAGUGAAUGGCUGUUGUGGUGUGUUUGCGCAUGCUGCGACGGUUCAUUUCCUGACCCUUGUGAAUGUAUCUAUUAAAGUGGUGGACGGCUUGAGAGCGUGCGCAUCAGCGUGUGCGAUCGGGUCGUUGGCCAUGCGAUCUGCGUGAUGCCUCGGCUAGCGCGAUUGCCUUUUAUUCCAAACACUAUGGUUAUAAAACAAGUGACAUGUGCCAAUUUGGCGUGACCUAUCGAAUCGUAAUAACUUUUAACAAUGGAUCUCUUGGCUCUUGCAACGAUGAAGAACGCAGCAAUAUGCGAUAACUAAUGUGACUCGCAACAGCUCGUGAAUCAUCAAGUUUUUGAACGCACAUUGCACUUCCUGGUAUUCCGGGAAGUACACCUGUUUGAGUAUCAUUCAACCCUCACACGAACCUAUAUGUGCUUGCCUUUGUUGGCGAGCGGUUGUGUGGACGUGGGCUUUUCACCCGAUAUAGGGGGAGCGAUCCUCUAGGGCGAAGCUUGAAAAGGAGCGAUCCCAGCUUUGUUGCGAUAAAAGCGAGAUAAAUGUUUCCGCUUUGUAGCAUUGCGCAUUGGGGUUGUUAGUGGUAAAUUCGCAAGAAUUCAACGCACCUUAUUGAUCUCAAAUCAGGUGGGAGGACCCGCUGAACUUAAGCAUAUCAUUAAGCGGAGGAAAAGAAACUAACAAGGAUUCCCUCAGUAACGGCGAGUGAACAGGGAAAAGCUCAGAUUUGAAAUCGUUGGGGUUCCCUCAACGAGUUGUAGUCUGGAGAAGUAUUUUCGGUGAUUGCCUGGGUACAAGUUCUUUGGAAUGAGACAUCAGAGAGGGUGAGAAUCCCGUCUUUGGCCCGAGGUGGAUUGCUCUAUGAUAUACUCUCGAAGAGUCGGGUUGUUUGGGAAUGCAGCCCAAAGUGGGUGGUAAAUUUCAUCUAAAGCUAAAUAACGGCAAGAGACCGAUAGCGAACAAGUACCGUGAGGGAAAGAUGAAAAGGACUUUGAAAAGAGAGUUAAAUAGUACGUGAAAUUGUUAAAAGGGAAACGAUUGAAACCAGUGGUGCGUUGUGAAAUUCAGCUUUGCUCUUGGAGUGAGGUGCACUUUUCGCAUAGCAAGUCAACUUGGUUUAUGGUUGCUGGAUAAACGUGUGAGGAAUGUAGCUAGCUUUCGGGCUAGUGUUAUAGCCUUGCGUGAAUACAGUGACUGUGAUCCAUUCGAGCAGCGCAAGCUUUGCUGGGCAAUCAGUGUGUCUUGGUGGGGCCUAUUGUAAACAACAUGUUGAUUGCGAUGGGAUCCUGUCUUUAUGUGCUGUGCGUUACAAUUGCGCUAAGAGAGUUGACGAAAUGGUUUUAACCGACCCGUCUUGAAACACGGACCAAGGAGUCUAACAUAUAUGCGAGUAUUUGGGUGGUAAACUCGAGUGCGUAAUGAAAGUGAUUCAUGGGAACCGCAAGGGGCACCAUGGGCCGAUCUGGAUACAUGUUGAAAGAUUUGAGGUUGAGCAUAUAUGCUGGGACCCGAAAGAUGGUGAACUAUGCGUGA